rnacentral:rRNA from 1 species
UGGGGAAUAUUGCACAAUGGGCGCAAGCCUGAUGCAGCCAUGCCGCGUGUAUGAAGAAGGCCUUCGGGUUGUAAAGUACUUUCAGCGGGGAGGAAGGGAGUAAAGUUAAUACCUUUGCUCAUUGACGUUACCCGCAGAAGAAGCACCGGCUAACUCCGUGCCAGCAGCCGCGGUAAUACGGAGGGUGCAAGCGUUAAUCGGAAUUACUGGGCGUAAAGCGCACGCAGGCGGUUUGUUAAGUCAGAUGUGAAAUCCCCGGGCUCAACCUGGGAACUGCAUCUGAUACUGGCAAGCUUGAGUCUCGUAGAGGGGGGUAGAAUUCCAGGUGUAGCGAUGAAAUGCGUAGAGAUCUGGAGGAAUACCGGUGGCGAAGGCGGCCCCCUGGACGAAGACUGACGCUCAGGUGCGAAAGAGUGGGGAGCAAACAGG